CUACGGGGGGCAGCAGUGGGGAAUAUUGCACAAUGGGCGCAAGCCUGAUGCAGCCAUGCCGCGUGUAUGAAGAAGGCCUUCGGGUUGUAAAGUACUUUCAGCGGGGAGGAAGGGAGUAAAGUUAAUACCUUUGCUCAUUGACGUUACCCGCAGAAGAAGCACCGGCUAACUCCGUGCCAGCAGCCGCGGUAAUACGGAGGGUGCAAGCGAUAAGCGGAAUUACUGGGCGUAAAGCGCACGCAGGCGGUUUGUUAAGUCAGAUGUGAAAUCCCCGGGCUCAACCUGGGAACUGCAUCUGAUACUGGCAAGCUUGAGUCUCAUAGAGGGGGGUAGAAUUCCAGGUGUAGCGGUGAUAUGCGUAGGGAUCUGGAGGAAUACCGGUGGCGAAGGCGGCCCCCUGGACGAAGACUGACGCUCAGGUGCGAAAGCGUGGGGAGCAAACAGGAUUAGAUACCCGGGUAGUC
rnacentral:rRNA from 1 species